ACUCCUACGGGAGGCAGCAGUAGGGAAUUUUCCACAAUGGGCGAAAGCCUGAUGGAGCAACGCCGCGUGCAGGAUGAAGGCCUUCGGUUCGUAAACUGCUUUUAUCUGUGAAGAUUAUGACGGUAACAGAUGAAUAAAGGGUCUGCUAACUACGUGCCAGCAGCCGCGGUAAU
rnacentral:rRNA from 1 species